rnacentral:rRNA from 1 species
GACGAACGCUGGCGGCGUGCUUAACACAUGCAAGUCGAACGGAAAGGCCCUGCUUUUGUGGGGUGCUCGAGUGGCGAACGGGUGAGUAACACGUGAGUAACCUGCCCAUGACUUUGGGAUAACUUCAGGAAACUGGGGCUAAUACCGGAUAGGAGCUCCUGCUGCAUGGUGGGGGUUGGAAAGUUUCGGCGGUUGGGGAUGGACUCGCGGCUUAUCAGCUUGUUGGUGGGGUAGUGGCUUACCAAGGCUUUGACGGGUAGCCGGCCUGAGAGGGUGACCGGCCACAUUGGGACUGAGAUACGGCCCAGACUCCUACGGGAGGCAGCAGUGGGGAAUAUUGCACAAUGGGCGGAAGCCUGAUGCAGCAACGCCGCGUGCGGGAUGACGGCCUUCGGGUUGUAAACCGCUUUCGCCUGUGACGAAGCGUGAGUGACGGUAAUGGGUAAAGAAGCGCCGGCUAACUACGUG